GACUCACGAAGAAAAAUCUUAAAACCCUAAAACCUUCUGUUAGUAUCGCAGUCACAGCUUCUUUCAAGUCGCAUACUCGCAACAUUUUUCCUUUUGCAUACUCUACAUGAAUCCGUGACAAUACAAAGAAUACAUUGGAAUGGAUUUUCGAUUUUUCAAGAAAGGGGUUCACAUGUGAACUCAGGAUUCUUUCAAUCGGCUCCUCGCAACACCGACCGAUCACUCAUCUAUGACUUCAAUCCCUGAAACCACCAAAGGCUUUAACAUUAAUUUUUAUGUCGCUGCUGGAUAUAGGUGUACAAUAACUUCUAAAGGAAGAAAAGAAGUAAGGCUAUUAAAUAUAGACUACCAACAACAAAGUGGCAAGCUAAAAGUCAACAUACAAACAGAUGCAUACUUCAAAUUAUUGUCAUAUAGCUAGCAUUAGUUGUUGAUUGCAAGAGUACAAUUGGCAAAAGUUCUAUUUCAGAUACUACUUUCUGCUUGUAAUGAAUUGAUUGCUUUCUUGUGUAAUAGAGACUAGGAUGGUUCAUAAAAUAUUAUUUUGUCU